rnacentral:lncRNA from 1 species
UCUGGAGGCCAGCCACUCGGUCCACUUAGAGGGAUAACAAACGUCCAUUAACUGUCAAUAAAGAGGAAAGAGAAAAGAACAGAAAAGGGAGGAUGACCAGUGUAAGACACAUUCUGAAGGAGCGACUGAGAGGAGUCUUGUGGACCUCUGAUUUCUUCUCUAUAAAUGUAAGAUCUCUAAGGCUGCAUGCAGUUAAAUAUGCACCCCAUCCCGUUACAUAUGCAGAACUAUUGCCAUUGGGAGCGAUGAAAACGAUUUCCGCUGUGAUUAAGUUCUAUGUUGGGCAUGAUGUCCAGCAGAUUGGCCCUGAGCUAACAUCUGUUGCUUGAGGAAGAUGUUGCGGAGCUAACGUCUGUGCCAAUCUUCCUCUAAUUUAUAUGUGGGACACCUGCCACAGUGUGGCUUGACAGCAGUGUUAGGUCCAUGCCCGGGAUCCAAACCUACGAACCCCAGGCUGCCGAAGUGGAGUGUGCAAACUUAACCACUAUGCCACCAGGCCAGCCCCAUAUUAACUUUUUUUUACGCCAUAUGUGUCUUUGUGACUAGCCCUAACUUAACUGUUAUAAUUCUAGAAACUACAAAAACAAUAAAUCGCUAUUUUCAUCCAGAA